GAGAGCUCUUGCGAGGCAGAACAGGCUGCUGAAGGACAGACCUGGCUGGCGCGGUUAAUAAGAGGCCUGCAUCCCGUAGCCUGAACAAAUAUUGAAGUAGCUAAAGUUUCUAAAGUGUGUUAAUUUGCAUACUUCCUCAGCAGUCCAGCGUGGAGGAUAAAAGGGGUAUCUUAGAAAGGCAAAACAUAGUAGCUUUGGUCCAGUGAGCCUGACUCUAAACUCAACGUGGCUGCCUCCGUACUGCUUUCAAUAAUUCAGUAAAUGCUAAGAGAAGAGAAUAUGGAACAGGAAUUGCAGGAGGCCCAUCAGCUGUGCCUUUUGGGCAAAUAGCAUAGUAGUGGGGAUAUUAGACACCUUGAAACACCUGACAAGUAAAUGCUGGCCAAAAAGAAAGAAAAAUCGCAAAAUACACCCUAUCACACAACCCUGGGAAGGGAUACGUUUGUGUUUUCAACUCGACAGACAGCAGCACCCCAUAUCCUUGAAGAUAGGUCCAUGCAGUUGCCUUAAGCAUCUGCACCAAAACCCUGCUAUUCAUUUGCCUUUUCACCAGGGAGGAAAAAAAAAAUGUUAUCACAUAUCAAAGCCCU
rnacentral:lncRNA from 1 species